ensembl:lncRNA
GUGUGGCACAGGAUUGCUGUCCAGUAAAUAGCAAUUGAUGAAUGACUGAGUGGAGCUUUGUUUUGUUUUCAUUUCUCAAACUCUCUUAUGACCGCAGAGGGGAAAACUAAAUCAAAGCCAUAUGCCUGUAAAAAUCCCUCUGACAUCUUUUAUUGUAAUGGAAAAUGACAAUGGUUAUCAGAGCAGAAGGAACAUGCCUGAGUGAAAGUAAAUACCAAACACCUUUUGGGAAACAAAGCACCUCCUGGUGACCUUUGCAGCUGUUCCACUCCCUAAAUUAUGGCAACGUGAAGUUGUCUAAUGACAGUCUAACCAGGAUUUCCUCUUGUUUUCAAAUGUGUGCCUCCUCUCUCUCUGGGUUGUGCAGAAUUUUAAAUGUCACAGUAAUCACAUUUUUCCCGAGGAUAACGUGAAAUAUCAUUGGAGCUUAAUGGAGAUGAACAAAUGAUCAAAUUCAGAUGUUAGUGAUAUAUCAUGUUAGAGGAAUGAGAUCUAUUCCACAAGCUGCAAAGCCUCUAAAUUUUGUUAACACAAAUAAGAAAUAAAGUAGCAAAAGCUACUAUUUCUGAGUCCCUACCAUGCACCCCACCCCGUUCCAAGUACUUUACACCUAUCAUCUCAUUUAAUCCUGACAGUUCUUCAGCAUGGGCAUUACUGUCCCCAUUUAACACAUAAAUUCAGAUAAAUUCGUUGAACUGCUCAAAACCACAUGGCAAGUGGUUAUGUGAAUGUCCCCCAUCCAAGCUAUAUGGCCUUAAUAAAGUUACUUACCUGCUGUAGGCCUCAUCUGCAGAAUGCAAAUAUCGAAGACAUCUCACUCAUAAUAUUGUGAAAGAUUACAUUAAAUAAGUUAUGUGUAGCACUUAAGUGCAGUGCCUGCUAUACUGCAAUCACUUAUUGCAUUAGAAUUCUCCAGAGAACCAAUAGGAGAUACAUAGAUAUUUGUUUUAUACAUAUAGGGAGAUUUAUUGUAAGGAAUUGGUUCACGUGAUUAUAGAGGCUGUGAGUUGCCAUGUUCUGCCAUCUGCAAGCUCCAGUAGACUCCAAAGAACUAGUGGUAUAGUUCCAGUAUGAGCCUGAAGACCUAUGAACCAGGACAGCUUAGGAGAUCCAGUUCAAGUGCAGGAGAAGACCAAUGUUCCAGCUCAAAAACAGAGAGAAGGAAACCUUUCUUAGCCUUUUAUUCUAUCCAGGCCUUCAAUGGAGGAUAAGGCUUAACCUAUACUGGGGAGGAAAAUCUGUUUUACUCAUUCUAUCCAAUCAAAUGUUAAUCUCACCCAGAAAUACCCUCACAGACACACCCAGAAAUGUUUAGUAGGAUAUCUGGGCACUCUGUGCCCCAGUCAAGUUGACAUAUAAAAUCACACUAAAUGGUGCUUUAUUAACAUUAUUAUUGUGAUUGUUAUUAAUGUAGAUCUGGUAUUUUACAUCCGUCUAGCCCUUUCCACACUGCCCAAAACCAAAACCAAUCAUCAGUAUAAUCAUAAUGAAAUCAAAGCUACAUAUAAUUUUUUUCUUCCCUCAGGAAAAUUUUCAACAUCUUGCACAUUUAAUUCAUGGCAAGAGUUACUACCACUGGGACUAUUUUCUCUAAUACUCUUGGGGAAAAGUGGAAAUGCAUGAUAGCAUUUCGGAAAUAAAAGAAUGUCUCAUAUUGAUUCCUAGAGCACUGAAAAAAAAAAAAAAAAA